GAUGAACGCUGGCGGCGUGCCUAGUACAUGCAAGUCGAGCGAACAGACGAGAGUGCUUGCACUCUCUGACGUUAGCGGCGGACGGGUGAGUAACACGUGGGUAACCUACCUAUAAGACUGGGAUAACUUCGGGAAACCGGAGCUAAUACCGGAUAAUAUUUAGCUUCGCAUGAAGCAAUAGUGAAAGACGGUUCUGCUGUCACUUAUAGAUGGACCCGCGGUGUAUUAGCUAGUUGGUGAGGUAACGGCUCACCAAGGCAACGAUACAUAGCCGACCUGAGAGGGUGAUCGGCCACACUGGGACUGAGACACGGACCAGACUCCUACGGGAGGCAGCAGCAGGGAAUCUUCCGCAAUGGACGAAAGUCUGACGGAGCAAUGCCGCGUGAGUGAAGAAGGUUUUCGGAUCGUAAAACUCUGUUGUAAGGGAAGAACAAGUACGUUAGUAACUGAACGUACCUUGACGGUACCUUACCAGAAAGCCACGGCUAACUACGUG
rnacentral:rRNA from 1 species